rnacentral:rRNA from 1 species
AGAGUUUGAUCAUGGCUCAGAUUGAACGCUGGCGGCAGGCCUAACACAUGCAAGUCGAACGGUAACAGGAAGCAGCUUGCUGCUUCGCUGACGAGUGGCGGACGGGUGAGUAAUGUCUGGGAAACUGCCUGAUGGAGGGGGAUAACUACUGGAAACGGUAGCUAAUACCGCAUAACGUCGCAAGACCAAAGAGGGGGACCUUCGGGCCUCUUGCCAUCAGAUGUGCCCAGAUGGGAUUAGCUUGUUGGUGGGGUAACGGCUCACCAAGGCGACGAUCCCUAGCUGGUCUGAGAGGAUGACCAGCCACACUGGAACUGAGACACGGUCCAGACUCCUACGGGAGGCAGCAGUGGGGAAUAUUGCACAAUGGGCGCAAGCCUGAUGCAGCCAUGCCGCGUGUAUGAAGAAGGCCUUCGGGUUGUAAAGUACUUUCAGCGGGGAGGAAGGUGUUGUGGUUAAUAACCGCAGCAAUUGACGUUACCCGCAGAAGAAGCACCGGCUAACUCCGUGCCAGCAGCCGCGGUAAUACGGAGGGUGCAAGCGUUAAUCGGAAUUACUGGGCGUAAAGCGCACGCAGGCGGUCUGUUAAGUCAGAUGUGAAAUCCCCGGGCUCAACCUGGGAACUGCAUCUGAUACUGGCAGGCUUGAGUCUCGUAGAGGGGGGUAGAAUUCCAGGUGUAGCGGUGAAAUGCGUAGAGAUCUGGAGGAAUACCGGUGGCGAAGGCGGCCCCCUGGACGAAGACUGACGCUCAGGUGCGAAAGCGUGGGGAGCAAACAGGAUUAGAUACCCUGGUAGUCCACGCCGUAAACGAUGUCGACUUGGAGGUUGUGCCCUUGAGGCGUGGCUUCCGGAGCUAACGCGUUAAGUCGACCGCCUGGGGAGUACGGCCGCAAGGUUAAAACUCAAAUGAAUUGACGGGGGCCCGCACAAGCGGUGGAGCAUGUGGUUUAAUUCGAUGCAACGCGAAGAACCUUACCUGGUCUUGACAUCCACGGAAGUUUUCAGAGAUGAGAAUGUGCCUUCGGGAACCGUGAGACAGGUGCUGCAUGGCUGUCGUCAGCUCGUGUUGUGAAAUGUUGGGUUAAGUCCCGCAACGAGCGCAACCCUUAUCCUUUGUUGCCAGCGGUCCGGCCGGGAACUCAAAGGAGACUGCCAGUGAUAAACUGGAGGAAGGUGGGGAUGACGUCAAGUCAUCAUGGCCCUUACGACCAGGGCUACACACGUGCUACAAUGGCAUAUACAAAGAGAAGCGACCUCGCGAGAGCAAGCGGACCUCAUAAAGUAUGUCGUAGUCCGGAUUGGAGUCUGCAACUCGACUCCAUGAAGUCGGAAUCGCUAGUAAUCGUGGAUCAGAAUGCCACGGUGAAUACGUUCCCGGGCCUUGUACACACCGCCCGUCACACCAUGGGAGUGGGUUGCAAAAGAAGUAGGUAGCUUAACCUUCGGGAGGGCGCUUACCACUUUGUGAUUCAUGACUGGGGUGAAGUCGUAACAAGGUAACCGUAGGGGAACCUGCGGUUGGAUCACCU